rnacentral:rRNA from 1 species
GGGUGCGAUCAUACCAGCACUAAUGCACCAGAUCCCAUCAGAACUCCACCGUGAAGCGUGCUUGGGCGAGAGUAGUACUAAGAUGGGUGACCUCCUGGGAUGUCCUCGGAUUGCACCCC